rnacentral:rRNA from 1 species
UACGUAGGGUGCGAGCGUUGUCCGGAAUUAUUGGGCGUAAAGCGCGCGCAGGCGGUCUAUUAAGUCUGGUGUUUAAGCCCAGGGCUCAACCCUGGUUCGCACUGGAAACUGGUAGACUAGAGUGUAGGAGAGGGAAAGUGGAAUUCCACGUGUAGCGGUGAAAUGCGUAGAGAUGUGGAGGAACACCAGUGGCGAAGGCGACUUUCUGGCCUAUAACUGACGCUGAGGCGCGAAAGCGUGGGGAGCAAACAGG